ACAGAUUCCUGGCACAAUCAUCCCUGUUCUCAAACAUCUUUUAAACUUGGAUGAAGUGAUAAGUAGGGGAAGAAGAUGAUUUGCUGAAAGCAAUGCAGAGUCUCCCGAGAAGAGAUUCAGUCUGAACAGCUUUGUGUCAGACUUUGGAAGACCGCUGGUGCCCAAGGUGUUCUCUGGCAGGGCAAUGACGAAUCUAGGUCCCUCUUUCACUGCUACAUCAAUCAUGUGGGCCACUUGGAUAAGGCCAAAUUUGCUAUCCCAACCAUAGCCCUUGACAGAGAUAUUCAGCUCCAGGAAGCCAUCAGAUGCAGCAGGUGGCCAGAGGAGGAGGCGAACGGGCUCAUAAAAUGUGACAUCCCCAACUUCAUCAAUACGGACCAGAACUCUUCCUUUGGGGAAGAUGAUCUCCUGAUUUUGGAACCACCAAUUGUUCUAGAAGAUAAGCCAGUUGCUCAGACCUCACACAUAGACUUGAAUUGAGAAACGUGCUUUGUCAAGUGUCUUUCUGAAGAUGUGAAGUUUGUCUUUGUAUGGCAGGAAUUCCCCUUUCACAAAAUUGUAUAUGUUUGUGUCUGAGAGAGAGAAAUGGAGACAGACAGAAAGACGGAGACAGAAGAGCACCCCCUCAGAAGAGAGCUAGUUAAGUCCUACAGGGACAAGGAUCCUUAUUUGUUCACUGACGGACCUCAGGUGGCUUGACCUGUACCCGUGGCACAGCAGUCAAUACAAAUUGGCCGGAUGGAAGGAGGGAUCGUUCCUUACAUUCACAGAUCCCUCCCUUCUCUCUGCACUUCCUGUCCAUCUGUCUCCCUCCACUUUUCUCCUCCUCCCCUCCUCCUCCCAUCUUCUCCCUCCCUCACUUCCGCAGCUUCUCUCACAGAAACCUGAGGAUCGCUGGCCCUCCUGC